rnacentral:lncRNA from 1 species
UGUGAGUAAUGUCUCCAUUUUACAGAGAGGCAACAAAAGCUGAAAGAGACACAGCAGCUUGCCGAGGGCCACACAGCUUCUAGACAGCAGGACCAGCCUUCAAAGUCCGGUACCCAAAGAGGUGCAGGCACUGAGAGAUUUACAAGAAAAGAUCAAUGGAGAAGUAACCAUUCAGUUGACUACAGGAUUCUCUGAGCUGCAAAAUGACCCACCAGGUUUCUUUAAGUUGCAAGCCCCUGCUGGUCUCUCUCCUUCAGGCUGAUUUAAACUAAGGCCGAACUCACGAUAUGAUGGCAGGUGCUGGAGCAGCUAUCUUGGACCGUGUGAUAAAAGUUACUGAUUGAGAAUGGCAGAGCAAUAAGACGGAUGGAAUCUGGGGCUUCAAAACCAUGAAACUGCCAUGUUAGCCCUGGACUGCUUAAGUUAUUAUUGUCACAUGGAGGAGAAAUAAACUUCCAGUGGGUUUAAGCCAUUGUUAUUUUGAUCUUUAGUUACAGCAACUGAACUGCUUCACUUUGCAUAGCUACUUCUAACCAUCCUUCAAAAGCUACCUGAGGGCCACUUCUCCCAGGAAGCAUCCCUUGAUUGUACCAACGAUAGCCUGCCUCACGUACCACAUUACCCAUCCCAGAGCAUGUUGCCUCAACCAAAUCUUGAUGCGCCGAAUUCUAUUUUAUUUAAUGUUAUCACUCCAAUAUAGGGCAUGGCACACAUCAGGAGGCAUGGAAAGACGGUGAUUGAGUUGGGUUGUGACUGUCCUUUGUUCAUGGUUGGUUUGAUGUCCCUUUCACAGCAUAGUACCUUCCAG